rnacentral:rRNA from 1 species
AACGAACGCUGGCGGCAUGCCUAACACAUGCAAGUCGAACGAGACCUUCGGGUCUAGUGGCGCACGGGUGCGUAACGCGUGGGAACCUGCCCUUAGGUUCGGAAUAACUCCCCGAAAGGGGUGCUAAUACCGGAUAAUGUCUUCGGACCAAAGAUUUAUCGCCUUUGGAUGGGCCCGCGUUGGAUUAGCUAGUUGGUAGGGUAAAAGCCUACCAAGGCGACGAUCCAUAGCUGGUCUGAGAGGAUGAUCAGCCACACUGGGACUGAGACACGGCCCAGACUCCUACGGGAGGCAGCAGUGGGGAAUAUUGGACAGUGGGCGAAAGCCUGAUACAGCAAUGCCGCGUGAGUGAUGAAGGCCUUAGGGUUGUAAAGCUCUUUUACCCGGGAUGAUACUGACAGUACCGGGAGAAUAAGCUCCGGCUAACUCCGUG